CACGGAGUCCAGGUAACACACAGUUCAUCGCAGAGCUGUUCUUGGGGCAUAGAAUAGGCUGCACUCAAGUAAGAGCUCCGUAAAUGCCAGCGAUUGACUGAGCAACAAAAGUCCCGGCCACAGUGGUUUCUUUCUGUGCCCGUGGCUUACACAUCACACAAACACCAAGGUGUCCCCAGGCAUGCUACCUGCCAGGAACCCACAACAGGGUCCUACAAGACAGUGAACUAAUAUCCAGAUGCAUACAAGUCAGAGCUCCAAGUCCCAGGCUGGAGUGGAAGGACCGCACCAUUCAUGCUACAGUACCAUGUUAAGCCGCUUCGAGGUGACCCUACAGAGUACUGCUGUCAUCUCCACGGCUCUCAGAGGAGAAAUCAGGGCUCAGAGAAACUAAGUAACCUCAACAAAGGGGUAAUUGAACUGGGAUUUACCUUGAGUCUACUUGGCUCCUUCUAAGUCAUUUUCAAUCAAAGCAUUAAUGAAUGGGGCGAAGUGGACGCCAGGCGAGCAUUGCAGGGAGGCUAGCACGUGCACAGGCUGUUGGGUGGGCCUUCUGGCUAGCACUUGUACAGCAAGGAUGUGGGAGAUCCUGCCAAACUUAGCCACUCUGGAAGCUUGGAGCACUGAGAAACACGGGUGAAAGUGCA